rnacentral:tRNA from 1 species
GGAAAUUAACUGCCCCUCAAUGA